rnacentral:rRNA from 1 species
CAAUAGCGUAUAUUAAAGUUGUUGCAGUUAAAAAGCUCGUAGUUGGACCUUGGACCUGGACAGGCGGUCCGCCUCACGGCGAGUACUGUCUUGCUGGGUCUUUCCUCUUGGUGACCUGUUGUUUCGGCAGCAGGGAACCAGGACCUUUACUUUGAAAAAAUUAGAGUGUUCAAAGCAGGCUCGACGCCGGAAUAUAUUAGCAUGGAAUAAUAAAAUAGGACGUGCGGUUCUAUUUUGUUGGUUUUUGGAAUCGCCGUAAUGAUUAAUAGGGACAGUCGGGGGCAUUAGUACUCACAUGCUAGAGGUGAAAUUCUUGGAUUUUGUGAAGACUAACUUCUGCGAAAGCAUUUGCCAAGGAUGUUUUCAUUAA